AGGGUUUGAUUCUGGCUCAGGAUGAACGCUGGCGGCGUGCCUAAUACAUGCAAGUCGGACGCAAUGCUUCGGCAUUGAGUGGCGAACGGGUGAGUAAUACAUAAGCAACCUGCCCCUGUGAGGGGGAUAACUGCUGGAAACGGCAGCUAAGACCGCAUAGGCAUACAUGACGCAUGUCGAGUAUGUUAAAUAUCCUACGGGAUAGCACAGGGAUGGGCUUAUGACGCAUUAGCUAGCUGGUGAGGUAGAGGCUCACCAGGGCGACGAUGCGUAGCCGGCCUGAGAGGGUGGACGGCCACACUGGGACUGAGACACGGCCCAG
rnacentral:rRNA from 1 species